rnacentral:rRNA from 1 species
GACGAACGCUGGCGGCGUGCUUAACACAUGCAAGUCGAACGAUGAAGCCUAGCUUGUGGUGGAUUAUGGCGAACGGGUGAGUAAUACGUGAGUACCUACCUUUGACUCUGGGAUAAGCCUGGGAAACUGGGUCUAAUACCGGAUACGACCAAUCUCCGCAUGGGGUGUUGGUGGAAAGCGUUAUGGAGUGGUUUUAGAUGGGCUCACGGCCUAUCAGCUUGUUGGUGAGGUAAUGGCUUACCAAGGCGACGACGGGUAGCCGGCCUGAGAGGUGACCGGCCACACUGGGACUGAGACACGGCCCAGACUCCUACGGGAGGCAGCAGUGGGGAAUAUUGCACAAUGGGCGCAAGCCUGAUGCA